AUGCAGCCCGCUGGGCCUUGUGUUCACCACACUGCAUCUCCUGCCACCACUAUCUUGGUUCUGAUAAUUCUUCCCAGAACUAGUCUAUUCUGCAGCAGUAUGGAGGCUCCACCCCACCAGCCUCGGGGCCCAGUGCCUGUGGUCCAUCCCAGACAUGGGCGGCUACCUCUACAGUCUGCUUUGUACAUCCACUGGUACCAACACCAAGAGGAAGAAAACCCAAAACGCCUACUCUACUAUGAGUUUUCCACCUUCAAAGUAGAGUUGGACCCAGGAAUCAGUCCAGCGAAAUACCAUGCUUAUGAAGGUUCAAAGAGGAGCUGCAAAUUUGUAGUCAGAAGUCUAGAAGAGAGUGAUUCUGGCAUCUAUUACUGUGCCACCUGGAUUAUGCACGACAAAAAACUCUUUGGUGAUGGAACAAAACUUGUUGUCACAGAUAAGAGCCUCAAUGCAGUCAUUUCCCCCAAGCCCACAAUUUUCCUUCCUUCAUUUGAGGAAACUACGCUUCACAGUGCUGGAACAUAUCUUUGUCUUCUUGAGAAUUUUUUCCCUGACGUUAUAAAAAUAAAUUGGAAAGAAAAGAACAGCAAUACAAUACUGGAAGGCCAGCAAGGAGAUGUCAUGAAGACUAACGACACGUUCAUGAAAUUCAGCUGGCUGACUGUGACAGGAGAGUCACUGAAUAAAGACCACGAGUGCCUGGUCAAACAUGAGAGCAUUAAAGAGGGAAAAGAGAUUCCCUUUCCUUCAGUAAAGAAGCUGCUAGAGGAUCCGAACUGUUCUAAGUUUUCUAGUGGCAUCUCACAACUGCAGCUCAUGAACACCUCUGCAUUCUACACCUAUCUCCUCCUCCUGCUCAAAAGUGUGGUCUACUUGGCCAUUGUCGUCUUCUAUCUACUCAGAAGAACAGCAGUCUGUGCUGAUGGAAAGACCUCGUAA